UGAGGGAAAGGCGAAAAGAACCCCGGCGAGGGGAGUGAAAAAGAACCUGAAACCGUGUACGUACAAGCAGUGGGAGCCCCACCACCAAAGCAUUCUCUGGUGUUGAAGGCCCUGCAAAGCAGCAUCGCGGUGGCGGAGCGUCGUUUGCGACGCCCAACACACAAAACAAGCGGUGAAUGCUUUGGGGUGGGGUGACUGCGUACCUUUUGUAUAAUGGGUCAGCGACUUAUAUUCUGUAGCAAGGUUAACCGAAUAGGGGAGCCGGAGGGAAACCGAGUCUUAAUUGGGCGUUAAGUUGCAGGGUAUAGACCCGAAACCCGGUGAUCUAG
rnacentral:rRNA from 2 species